UUGAACGUAUGGUUACCAUAGAUUCUGUUUAUUAUGCCGAAAAUCGCAGAGAAAUCAAUUUCAAUAUUAUUCGGAGAAAAUAUAUUUUAAAGAAGUUUCAAAAAUUACUUUGUAGGUAGGAAUAGAUGGUUGGACUGUUGGCAGUUUGUUUUCGAGCUUGUAACUAUUUCUGAAAGUAUUCUCUUCGUAAAAUCGAAUUUCGUGAUUGACGGAAUAAGUAGCUCUUUCACAGGCGCUGUUUUACUGACAAGCGGUCACGCAUGCCGAAAUAUGUGGAAAUGUAAUCUUGACAAUUAAGAAUUAUUUCGCUUAUCUGUUACAGAUUCUAUUCUCAACCGCUGGAAGUUUUUUGGUUUCCAAAAAAACAGCUUCACACUAGAUUGUGCAGCUUAAGCAUACAUUGCCCAUUGUCGAAGAAAAUGCGUUUCUUGAGCCUUGGCCCUCUUCAGCUUGCUAGGCAUGCUCUUCGGAUCCUGUAGACCGCCUCCCCAGUAUUUGCGGUUUUCCUCGUAGUGAUCGAUGAAGAUAGUCUCCACCAGUUUGGAAAGAUUCGUCACCUUUGAAUUGUCGACCUGGGUGAAUUUUAUCACACUGGUAAUCUCAACCUUCUUGGCAGCCAGAGUGGUAUCAAAACGAGCUAUGAUUUUGUGUUGUGUAAAACCGUGAUGGAGAAAUUUGACGCAGAACCUAAUUAGUAUCGGUUGUGUCCUUGGAACUAGAGCCAGCCAGAAUUCCAGUUCAUUUCCCGGCUGGAUGGGUUGGUCAUUCAGCAUAUCGAAUGUCGAGACAA